rnacentral:rRNA from 1 species
UACAUGGGGUGCAAACGUUGCUCGGAAUUAUUGGGCGUAAAGCGCACGUAGGCGGUUUGUUAAGUCGGAUGUGAAAUCCCUCGGCUCAACUGAGGAAGUGCAUCCGAAACUGGCAAGCUUGAGUACGAAAGAGGAUCGCGGAAUUCCCGGUGUAGAGGUGAAAUUCGUAGAUAUCGGGAGGAACACCGGUGGCGAAGGCGGCAAUCUGGGUCGAUACUGACGCUGAGGUGCGAAAGCGUGGGGAGCAAACAGG